AUGAUGCAGUUUGGGCUUGAACAUUGGUGUAGAGCAUGGUUCAAAGAAGGAUCAUUCUAUGAUUCAGUCGACAACAAUAUGUGUGAAAGUUUUAACAAUUGGAUAGUGGAAUAUAGAGGUCUUCCUAUCAUCAGUAUGUUUGAAGCAAUCAGAGCAAAGGUGAUAGUAAGGAUUCAAGUUAAUAGAGUUAUGUCUGCCAAUUGGAAUGGAACAAUUUGUCCCCAAAUCCUAAAAAAGGUGAACAAGUUGAUACAACUUACUGACAAGUGUGAGACAAUAUGGAAUGGAAAAGAUGGAUAUGAGGUGAAGUUAGGACAUCAUGGAUUCAAAGUUGACUUGCAAGCAGGAACAUGUUCUUGUAGAUACUGGCAAUUGUCAGGAAUUCCAUGUGUUCAUGCUCUAGCAGCUUCAUAG
rnacentral:rRNA from 1 species